AUUGAACGCUGGCGGCAGGCCUAACACAUGCAAGUCGAGCGCGAAAGGCUUUCGGGCUGAGUAGAGCGGCGGACGGGUGAGUAACGCGUAGGAAUCUACCUGGUAGUGGGGGACAACUUGGGGAAACUCAAGCUAAUACCGCAUACGCCCCAAGGGGGAAAGCGGGGGACCUUCGGGCCUCGCGCUAUCGGAUGAGCCUGCGUAGGAUUAGCUAGUUGGUAGGGUAAAGGCCUACCAAGGCGACGAUCCUUAACUGGUCUGAGAGGAUGAUCAGUCACACUGGAACUGAGACACGGUCCAGACUCCUACGGGAGGCAGCAGUGGGGAAUAUUGGACAAUGGGCGCAAGCCUGAUCCAGCCAUGCCGCGUGUGUGAAGAAGGCCUUCGGGUUGUAAAGCACUUUCACUUGGGAAGAAAAGCUGACCGUUAAUAGCGGUUAGCCGUGACAUUACCUUGAGAAGAAGCACCGGCUAACUCCGUGCCAGCAGCCGCCGCCGUAAGAC
rnacentral:rRNA from 1 species